rnacentral:lncRNA from 1 species
GUGAGAAAGGUAUUUGCCUCAGGAAAAGUACUUUGGAAAUUUGCAUGAAUGGGCUGCAUCUGUUCUUCAGUGCUAAACGUUUUUCCCCACCUGUGUGAGGCAAUGAAUUAGAUCCUCAGCACCACAUAAAAAUAAGUAAAGAGAUGUGUGUCCAUCCAAAACCAAUAUUAUUAAAGAAAACACAAUUCUGGGUGGAGAAUAUCCACUUCUUCAUGUAAGGUUGCAAACAUUCAUGAAAUAAGAACAGGGACCAUUUUUGUCAAAUGAAUUUGUCCUCACACUAAGGUAGCUAGUCCAAAGGUGUUUGAGUUCCUUCUGGCUCAAAUACACAUAAAAAUCCCACCAUUUGCAGACACUUGGCAUCUAAUUUGGAUUGAAUAGCAGUAUGUACUCUUGGCCCAUUUUAUCUUCCCUCAUUCUCAGGAAGGGUGUCAAGCCUACCAUGACCUUAGACAAAUGAAGGGCAUGGACACUUCCACUUAACCAUUCUGGACUUGUGUAGUUCUGGAAUCCUCCAGUCGGAUAUUUAGGAUGAGUGUUUAUAAGGAAGAAGAUGAGUGGACUUAGUUCCAUGAGGGAGAGUUCUUGUUUGAAUGGUGGUUAUUGGUGAGGUGGUUGUAAGAGAUAGUUGUGUAAACCUCAGAUGUAACAGUGGUGUGAAUCUCAGCAGAGACCUGCAUUCUGGGGCUUACCCAAUACAUGUGUUUCAGCAAAUUGUUUAGGAUUUUAGGUACCCCAGCACCAGAGAUGUCUUUGGGAAAUGAAAGCAAGGCCCAGUGUGGAUUUUCCACAACAUCAGGAAUCUCAGUGAUGAAUUCACACAUUAUUCUCUGCAGAGCCUUAUGAGCCAAAGUUGAAAGCCUGAAACACACAUGUUUCUCAAAAUUUAGACCCAUUUGAACGGCUGCAUGCAGCCUGUUGACCAAGAUCUGCAAAGCCCACUUGGCAUGAGUUCUACAGAUGUUCCAGCUAAAGGAGAUUCUUCACCAAUUAUUAGCCCUUGUCUCAAUCCAAAUUCCACAUAACCUCUUACUUCAUUCUUCAAAUAUGGCCAUACCAAUAGCCUGAAAAUUUGAAAAUUCCCAUGACCUGGAACCACUGAAGCACUUUAAAAUAGCUCCUUAUUGCUCGUCAUGACUGAAUGACAGAGGGAAUUCAUUGACAGAAACUCAUGAAAAUGCUGGAGAUCAUAGAACCAGUGAGUUUGAGCAUGCUGAUGAAGGUGCCUGGGGCAGGAGAGUAGGUGUGUGCCAAGAAAUCUGUGACAAAACCAUGUGGAUGUGGCAUUGGCAUCCAAACAGCAUGUUUCUCAAAUCAUGAAGCUAGCAGACUGUCCCAAGUCAAGGCAUCCUGUUGUGGAGAAUUUUUUGGAGCUAUACUCAGAAUCAGGGUUCUAGUCUGAGUUGGGAAAUAUGUAUGUGAUAGCAGUCAGGCUGAUGUUUUCUCCUGCAGAUAUUGAUUCACCACCUGUGAUGUAAGUCCCUCUAGCACUUUGUCCCAGCUGAGCUUGAUAUCCUUCUUUAAACAAAUACCAAACUCCCUGUGAUAGCAUUAGAACUACUGUGAAACCUAGAUGGUUUCCCAAUGGCUUCACACUGCACACAGAGACAUUCAGCCCCCACGGGUCACAGUUUAUCUCCAGGAAGAGGAUUCAGCUCUCCUGCCUCAUGCACAUUGGAAAACAGAAAACUAUGUCUUCUAGUUCACUUAGGUGGAGAUCCAGUUGUGAUUUUCUCACUUCAAAGAGAGCCAACACUCAACAGCAACAUAAAUUUCAAGUACCAAAAUUGUAGAGGCAAGUUGUCAAGCAAUCAUUAGGCCAGCACACUUUCAUAUUUGUGCCUUGUUUACCUUUAC